GCGGUGAUGAUGUGGAUUAAUUCGAUGCAACGCGAAAACCUUUACCCACCUUUGACAUGUACGGAAUCCUUUAGAGAUAGAGGAGUGCUCGAAAGAGAACCUGCACACAGGUGCUGCAUGGCUGUCGUCAGCUCGUGUCGUGAGAUGUUGGGUUAAGUCCCGUAACGAGCGCAACCCCUACGUUUAGUUGCUAACAGGUGAAGCUGAGCACUCUAGACGAACUGCCGUUGACAAAACGGAGGAAGUGGGGAUGACGUCAAAUCAUCAUGCCCCUUAUGUUCUGGGCUACACACGUGCUACAAUGGCCGGUACAGACGGAGGCGAAGCCGCGAGGCGGAGCAAAUCCGAAAAAGCCGGUCUCAGUUCGGAUUGCAGGCUGCAAUUCGCCUGCAUGAAGUCGGAAUCGCUAGUAAUCGCAGGUCAGCAUACUGCGGUGAAUACGUUCCCGGGCCUU
rnacentral:rRNA from 1 species